CCUGUGAUAAAAUUCCGAACCCCAGCAGGGCCUACACGGCUGGGCUACUGCCCUUCUCUCAAGACUCACCUGGUACCACUCUCUCACCUCACCACACUCCUCCGUGAUCUCUUGACCUCAAACAGGCCCAGCUUAGGCCGCUGACUGCCUUUGCUUUUCUCUCUUUCUGGGAUGUUUUCCCAGCGGCUGGCUUCUUAUCAUUUAGUUCACUCAGUCUCCAGCUCAAAGGUUACUUUUUCUAAGGGAAUUUUCUGAAGGAACCCCACACAGCUGGCUCUCUAUCACUUUAUCCUGCUUCAUAUUUUUCACAGGAAUCAUCAUGCCCUAGAAUCAUCUGAUCAUCUCUCUCCCUCCUUACAGUAUAAACUGCCCUGGAGUUGCAAUCAUGUCUUUCUUAUUCACCGCUCUAUUCCCCUCAUCUAGAAUAGUGCUUGGUGCCUACUAGGUGCUCAAGAGCCUUUCCUGAAUACAUAAAGGAAUGAAUGAGUGAUAAUAGUGUUUAACCAACAUUGAACAGCAUUUGGUGUUUUGAGGAGUCCUUUCACUUCCAUUACCUGGCAGCAUCCCCAUGAAAGUCUGUGAGCAGCAAUUCCCUCGCUGACAAAGACCUGGACGUGACCUCGAAUAUCUGCAGCUUGGAAAAUGUUACACGGAGCCACAGAUGACUUCAGGCAGGAGUUCCAGGGCCUGAUGAACAGCUACCUCUGGACCGUGACUGUCAGUGCCUUUUCCUGAAAGCCUCACCUGCCCCCAGGACUCUAGCCACUGAAAAGGACCCAAGCUACGAAACUGCCAUCAAUGAAGAAUGAAAACACCAUUUUGGCUUUUCCAAACUAAUGGCUCUGGCUAAUCUUAAUCCAACUCCAGUGCCCGUUCACCUUGAAGAUGUUUCCAAGCCUCUUGUCCCUAAGGAAUUAUUCUCUCACGCCUCUCCUGCAUCUCUAUUACGUUGGUGGUCAUGUUCUGUCCACCUGAUUCCACACAACAGGGAACAGAAGGCUUUGCCCUCUAUUUUGUGUCCUCUUAUCUCAGAGUCCCCUUUGAGUUUUCCUUCUUCCACCC